UAAGUAGGACAAAUGGUCGCGGCCCGGUUUUACCGGGGUGAGGAAAGUCCGGGCUUCACAGGGCAGGAUGCCGGAUAACGUCCGGUAGAGGCGACUCUAAGGAUAGUGCAACAGAAAUAUACCGCCGGAUGCCUUCAGGGGCGUUUCGGUAAGGUUGGAAGGGCAGUGUAAGAGACUACCGCCUUCCCGGUAACGGGGAGGGCAUAUGUAAACCCCAUCCGAAGCAAGACCGAACAAAAGCGUUGACGUGGCCCGCCAGCUUUAGGUAGGUUGCUUGAGGUGGCUGGCAACAGCCAUCCUAGAUAGAUGACCAUUCGCUGCGUAAGCAGCCGACAUAACCCGGCUUAUCGUCCUGCUUAGAUU
rnacentral:RNase_P_RNA from 1 species